rnacentral:ribozyme from 1 species
AGCAAUACCUCGCUGAUACGGGGGUGGAUUCGAAGCCUCUAGAAGGUUAACAUAAUCUCUCCUCCUCCUACUCUUACUCUUACUUAAUACGUCCCAGUCGUACAGAACGAUAACAUGCCACUCAAUCAUCCAAGCUUGGAUCCAAGCUCCAAACAGAAACCCAACCCCUUGGGCGGAUGAUUUGCGUGGCCAAAUUGAGAGAU